rnacentral:rRNA from 1 species
GAUGAACGCUGGCGGCGUGCCUAAUACAUGCAAGUCGAGCGAACAGGCGAGGAGCUUACUCCUCUGACGUUAGCGGCGGACGGGUGAGUAACACGUGGAUAACCUACCUAUAAGACUGGGAUAACUUCGGGAAACCGGAGCUAAUACCGGAUAACAUGUUGAACCGCAUGGUUCAACAGUGAAAGACGGUCUUGCUGUCACUUAUAGAUGGAUCCGCGUCGCAUUAGCUAGUUGGUAAGGUAACGGCUUACCAAGGCAACGAUGCGUAGCCGACCUGAGAGGGUGAUCGGCCACACUGGAACUGAGACACGGUCCAGACUCCUACGGGAGGCAGCAGUAGGGAAUCUUCCGCAAUGGGCGAAAGCCUGACGGAGCAACGCCGCGUGAGUGAAGAAGGUCUUCGGAUCGUAAAACUCUGUUAUUAGGGAAGAACAAAUGUGUAAGUAACUAUGCACGUCUUGACGGUACCUAAUCAGAAAGCCACGGCUAACUACGUG